GAGGGCAUAACUCAGUGGUAGAGCACAUGCUUAGCAUGCACGAACUCCUGGGUUCAAUCCCCAGUACCACCA
rnacentral:tRNA from 1 species